UUGAACGCUGGCGGCAGGCCUAACACAUGCAAGUCGAGCGGAUGAGAAGAGCUUGCUCUUCGAUUCAGCGGCGGACGGGUGAGUAAUGCCUAGGAAUCUGCAUGGUAGUGGGGACAACGUUUCGAAAGGAACGCUAAUACCGCAUACGUCCUACGGGAGAAAGCAGGGGACCUUCGGGCCUUGCGCUAUCAGAUGAGCCUAGGUCGGAUUAGCUAGUUGGUGAGGUAAUGGCUCACCAAGGCUACGAUCCGUAACUGGUCUGAGAGGAUGAUCAGUCACACUGGAACUGAGACACGGUCCAGACUCCUACGGGAGGCAGCAGUGGGGAAUAUUGGACAAUGGGCGAAAGCCUGAUCCAGCCAUGCCGCGUGUGUGAAGAAGGUCUUCGGAUUGUAAAGCACUUUAAGUUGGGAGGAAGGGCAGUAAGCUAAUACCUUGCUGUUUGACGUUACCGACAGAAUAAGCACCGGCUAACUCUGUG
rnacentral:rRNA from 1 species